rnacentral:rRNA from 1 species
CACAUGCAACUCGAGGGAUAUUGGUUUUCGGACCAAGAGACCGGCGCACGGGUGCGUAACGCGUAUGCAAUCUACCUUUCACANAGGGAUAGCCCAAAGAAAUUUGGAUUAAUACCUCAUAGUAUUAUAGAAUGGCAUCAUUUUAUAAUUAAGGAUUUAUCGGUGAAAGAUGAGCAUACGUCCCAUUAGCUAGUUGGUAUGGUAACGGCAUACCAAGGCUACGAUGGGUAGGGGUCCUGAGAGGGAGAUCCCCCACACUGGUACUGAGACACGGACCAGACUCCUACGGGAGGCAGCAGUGAGGAAUAUUGGACAAUGGGCGCAAGCCUGAUCCAGCCAUGCCGCGUGCAGGAUGACGGUCCUAUGGAUUGUAAACUGCUUUUAUACGAGAAGAAACACUCCGACGUGUCGGAGCUUGACGGUAUCGUAAGAAUAAGGAUCGGCUAACUCCGUCCCAGCAGCCGCGGUAAUACGGAAGAUCCAAGCGUUAUCCGGAAUCAUUGGGUUUAAACGGUCCGUAGGCGGUUUANUAAGUCAGUGGUGAAAGCCCAUCGCUCAACGGUGGAACGGCCAUUGAUACUGCUAGACUUGAAUUAUUAGGAAGUAACUAGAAUAUGUAUUGUAACGGUGAAAUGCUUAAAGAUUACAUGGAAUACCAAUUGCGAAGGCAGGUUACUACUAAUUGAUUGACCCUAAUGGACGAAAGCGUGGGUAGCGAACAGGAUUAGAUACCCUGGUAGUCCACGCCGUAAACGAUGGAUACUAGCUGUUGGGAGCAAUCUCAGUGGCUAAGCGAAAGUGAUAAGUAUCCCACCUGGGGAGUACGAACGCAAGUUUGAAACUCAAAGGAAUUGACGGGGGCCCGCACAAGCCGGUGGAGCAUGUGGUUUAAUUCGAUGAUACGCGAGGAACCUUACCAAGGCUUAAAUGUAGUUUGCCGGUUUGGAAACAGAUCUUUCCAAGACAAAUUACAAGGUGCUGCAUGGUUGUCGUCAGCUCGUGCCGUGAGGUGUCAGGUUAAGUCCUAUAACGAGCGCAACCCCUGUUGUUAGUUGCCAGCGAGUCAUGUCGGGAACUCUAACAAGACUGCCAGUGUAAACUGUGAGGAAGGUGGGGAUGACGUCAAAUCAUCACGGCCCUUACGCCUUGGGCUACACACGUGCUACAAUGGCCGGUACAGAGAGCAGCCACUGGGCGACCAGGAGCGAAUCUACAAAACCGGUCACAGUUCGGAUCGGAGUCUGCAACUCGACUCCGUGAAGCUGGAAUCGCUAGUAAUCGGAUAUCAGCCAUGAUCCGGUGAAUACGUUCCCGGGCCUUGUACACACCGCCCGUCAAGCCAUGGAAGCUGGGGGUGCCUGAAGUCGGUGACC